rnacentral:rRNA from 1 species
GCGGACGGGUGAGUAAUGCUUGGGAAUCUGGCUUAUGGAGGGGGAUAACUACGGGAAACUGUAGCUAAUACCGCGUAGUGUCGAGAGACGAAAGACUGGGACCGCAAGGCCAGUUGCCAUAAGAUGAGCCCAAGUGGGAUUAGGUAGUUGGUUAGGUAAAGGCUGACCAAGCCGACGAUCUCUAGCUGGUCUGAGAGGAUGACCAGCCACACUGGAACUGAGACACGGUCCAGACUCCUACGGGAGGCAGCAGUGGGGAAUAUUGCACAAUGGGGGGAACCCUGAUGCAGCCAUGCCGCGUGAAUGAAGAAGGCCUUCGGGUUGUAAAGUUCUUUCGGUGAUGAGGAAGGUGUUUGUUUUAAUAGAACAAGCAAUUGACGUUAGUCACAGAAGAAGCACCGGCUAACUCCGUGCCAGCAGCCGCGGUAAUACGGAGGGUGCGAGCGUUAAUCGGAAUAACUGGGCGUAAAGGGCACGCACGCGGUGACUUAAGUGAGAUGUGAAAGCCCCGAGCUUAACUUGGGAAUUGCAUUUCAUACUGGGUCGCUAGAGUACUUUAAGGAGGGGUAGAAUUCCACGUGUAGCGGUGAAAUGCGUAUAGAUGU